GACGAACGCUGGCGGCGUGCUUAACACAUGCAAGUCGAACGGAAAGGCCCUGCUUUUGUGUGGUGCUCGAAUGGCGAACGUGUGAGUAACACGUGAGUAACCUGCCCUUGACUUUGGGAUAACUUCAGGAAACUGGGGCUAAUACCUGAUAGGAGCUCCUGCUGCAUGGUGGGGGUGGGAAAGUUGCGGCGGUUGGGGAUGGACUUGCGGCUUAUCAGCUUGUUGGUGGGGUAGUGGCAUACCAAUGCUUUGACGGAUAGCCGGCCUGAGAGGGUGACCGGCGAAAUUGGAACUACAGUACCGCCCAGACUCCUAUGGGGCGCAGCAGUGGGGACUUAUGCAAACUAGGCGGAGGCGAGAUGCAGCGACUCCGCGUGCGGGAUGCCGGAAUUGGGGUUGUAAGCGGCUUGCGCCGGUGACGAAGAGUGAAUGCAGGUAAUGAGUCAAGAAGCAAAGACUAACUAAGUG
rnacentral:rRNA from 1 species